rnacentral:rRNA from 1 species
AUUGAACGCUGGCGGAAUGCUUUACACAUGCAAGUCGAACGGCAGCACGGACUUCGGUCUGGUGGCGAGUGGCGAACGGGUGAGUAAUAUAUCGGAACGUGCCCAGUCGUGGGGGAUAACGUAGCGAAAGCUACGCUAAUACCGCAUACGAUCUACGGAUGAAAGCGGGGGAUCGCAAGACCUCGCGCGAUUGGAGCGGCCGAUAUCAGAGUAGGUAGUUGGUGAGGUAAAGGCUCACCAAGCCGACGAUCUGUAGCUGGUCUGAGAGGACGACCAGCCACACUGGGACUGGGACACGGCCCAGACUCCUACGGGAGGCAGCAGUGGGGAAUUUUGGACAAUGGACGCAAGUCUGAUCCAGCCAUUCCGCGUGCAGGACGAAGGCCUUCGGGUUGUAAACUGCUUUUGUACAGAACGAAAAGGUCUCUAUUAAUACUAGGGGCUCAUGACGGUACUGUAAGAAUAAGCACCGGCUAACUACGUGCCAGCCGCCGCGGUAA